rnacentral:lncRNA from 1 species
CUUCCUCCGCCCCAAGCAGCCGGGGCGGUGCACCACCGGCCCCCGCUUCCUUCUCGGGGUUGGGAGGCACCGAGGGCCUCGAGGGGCUGCGGGACUCGGGCUUGGUGUGGAGGGCAAGAGCGCUGCGACGUGCGGACUGGAGAGUCAGCCUUUGGGCUGGAGACACGGGAGCGGGUGGCUACAGUGGUUUACGUUGUUGCACGGGGCGAGUAGAACGUGCUCCCCAAGUGACCUGACAUUGAGCUCCAGCUGUUGUUCUUUGAACACCCAAGACCCUCAUCUCCACCCCAUGGCUGAGGAGUUCUGGAUUUGGGGUUUGAUGGACCAGUAAACCUCUGCAGACACCAUCUAGGGACUGACACUGGGUUGCGAACUUUUUAUUUUGCAAGAUUGAAUAUUUGAAAACAACUCAAACUCCUGUCUAAGGUUCCUGUCUUUUAAAAAACAAACAGAAGGCCAGGCACAGUGGCUCACGCCUGUAAUCCCAGCACUUUGGGAGGCCAAGGUGGGUGGAUUACCUGAGGUCAGGAGUUCAGGACCAGCCUGGCCAACGUGGUGAAACUCCAUCUCUACUAAAAGUACAAAAAUUAGCCAGGCGUGGUGGUGGGCACCUCUAAUCCCAGCUACUUGGGAGGCUGAGGCAGGAGAAUUUCUUGAACCCAGGAGAUGGAGAUUGCAGUGAGCGAAGAUCAUGCCAUUGCACUCCAGCCUGAACGCCAGAGGGAGACUCUGCCUCAAAAAACAAACAAACCAACAAACAAACAAACAGAAAAACAUUGUCACACAGACAAAACCAAUAUGGAAAACUUCCAAAGAAAGGGUGCGGCAUCACUUUAACGGGUGAGCACAGCGGCCCUGGCAGCCUCCAGGCUCUAGGUGGCACUGGAUUCUUUCUGACAAGUCCUCAUCUGGGCUGUCAGAGACCUCCGCUUUGAGCUGCGCUGCCAUAGAGCUCUCUGGAAGUCCCUUGCUCCUCAGGGUCCAGUCCGAAUGCGCCUUUCACGAGGCCUCUCAGGCCAUCCUCAGGAGAAAAUAAUUUCUCACUUUGGCCAGGCGUCGUGGCUCACGCCUUGCAAUCCCAGCACUUUGGAAGGCUGAGGUGGGCGGAUCACUUGAGGUCAGGAGUUCAAGACCAGUCUGGCCAACAUGGUACAACCCCGUCUCCACUAAUUAGCUGGGUGUGGUGGUGGGCGCCUGUAAUCCCAGCUACGUGGGAGGCUGAGGCAGGAGAAUUGCUUGAACCCGAGAGGCAGAGGUUGCAGUGAGCUGAGAUCGUACCACUGCACUCCAGCCUGGGUGACAAGAGCGAGACUGUCUCAAAAAAAAAAAAAAAAAAAAAAUUCCACCUGUGAGGCCGGGCACAGUGGCUCACGCCUGUAAUCCCAGCACUUUGGGAGGCUGAGGUGAGUGGAUCACCUGAGGUCAGGAGUUCGAGACCAGCCUGACCAACAUGGUGAAACCUUGUCUGUACUUAAAAAUACAAAAAUAAGCCGGGCGUGAUGGCAGGCGCCUGUAAUCCCAACUCCUUGGGAGGCUGAGGCAGGACAACUGCUUGAAUCCAGGAGGUGGAGGUUGCAGUGAGCCGAGAUUGUGCCGUGCCAUUGCACUUCAGCCUGGGCAACAAGAGCGAAACUCCGUCUCAGGAAAAAAAAAAAAAAAAAAUUCCGCUUGUCAAUUUUUUAUAGCAGAGACUGCCAUUUUUAGGCAGUGACUGUUCUUUGUCCUUCGAUGUCUGUUCUUCCCAAAUUCUAUAGUAGAACCCUGGGCUUUUAGUUGGACACACGGAUGACUGAAAUAAUGAUAUUUCCUAGUACCCCUUGCUGUGGUCUUGUGACUAAGUUCUGACCAAUGGGAAGUUGAAAUGGGCAGUAUCCUAUUCAAAGAGAUUGGGUGCUGUUCUUUCCUCCUUCCAGCAGACUGGAAUGAGAAUGUAAUGGCUGGAGCAAGGGCAGUCACCCUGCACCAUGAGGCGGCAGCCUUGUGUUUGAGCUGAGGAUGGUAAAACAAGAUAGGAGCCUGUGUCUGAUGAUCAUGAGCAUCACACUAGCUCUGGGCCAACUAUGUUUACAAAAGAGGAGGAAAAUCAUCUCUCUUGUUAAAAGUCACUAUAGUUUGGCUUUUCUGUCAUUUUCAACCAGUCUAGUCCUAGCUAAAACAAACUCCAGCCUAUCUUAGGACAGGGCUGUUCUCUGCUGUUCAAGAGUGGGAGCUCUCUGACGGCAGUGAUGUGUGAUUUGGCUUGGUACCCCCCAAAGGUUAUCAUAUACAGUUGGCAAUCUCAAUACUUUGUGGGAUGAAUUUCAAAGAAAAAAGGUUUCUAGGUUAAGUAUUUGUAAAAACCAAAGUAAUGGCAUUUUGUGCUUUCCUGAUUUAUUAGCCCAUCUCAGGAUUAAAAUAAAAUGAAGUUCUAAAGAAAUUAUCAGAGACUGGGUCACAAAUUUAUAUAAAAGUUUAGUGAGUGCUGCAUUAUUAAGAAUAGUACCAAAAAUGAAAACCUAAGCGUUUAACAAUGGGGGUUGGCGAAAAUAAAUUUUAGAUUGAGAAAAGUGUCAUAACACAAACUUUCAAGGUGACAAAUGAUAGAAACCUGAACCCAAGAUAUAUUUUAAAAAUAUAUCUAUAUACACAUAGCGAAAGCUUAUAAGGAAAUACAGCAAAAUGUUAAUCUCAGCUGGGUGUGGUGGCUCAUGCCUGAAAUCCCAACACUGGCAGGACAAGACAGGAGGAUUGCUUGAGGCCAGGAGUUCAAGACCAGCCUGGGCAACACAGCAAGACCCCAUCUCUAUAAAACAUAAGAAAAAUUACCCAGGUGUGGUGGCAUGUGCCUGGGAGGUCAAGGCUGCAGUGAGCUAGGAUCACACUACUGCACUCCAGAAUGGGCAACAGAGUGAGACCCUGUCUCAAAAAAAGGAAAAAAGCAUCUUUGUGUGACAGGACUACAAAUGAUUAAAAUUUUCUCUUUGCAUUUGCCUUUUUUUUUGAGACAGAGUCUUGCUCUACUGCCCAGGCUCAAAUGAGGUGGCGUGAUCUCGGCUCACUGCAACCUCCGCC